GACGAACGCUGGCGGCGUGCUUAACACAUGCAAGUCGAACGGAAAGGCACUGCUUUUGUGGGGUGCUCGAGUGGCGAACGGGAGAGAAACACGUGAGUAACCUGCCCUUGACUUUGGGAUAACUUCAGGAAACUGGGGCUAAUACCGGAUAGGAGCUCCCGCUGAAUGGGGGGGGUUGGAAAGUUUCGGCGGUCGGGGAUGGACUCGCGGCUCAGCAGCUUGUUGGUGGGGUAGUGGCUUACCCAGGCAUUGACGGGUAGCCGGCCUGAGAGGGUGACCGGCCACCUUGGGACUGCGAUACGGCCCAGACUCCUACGGUAGGCAGAAGUGGGGAAUAUUGCACAAUGGGCGGAAGCCUGAUGCAGCAACGCCGCGUGCGGGAUGACGGCCUUCGGGUUGUAAACCGCUUUCGCCUGUGACGAAGCGUGAUUGACGGUAAUGGGUAAAGAAGCACCGGCUAACUACGUG
rnacentral:rRNA from 1 species